AAUGAACGCUGGCGGCAUGCCUAACACAUGCAAGUCGAACGAGACCUUCGGGUCUAGUGGCGCACGGGUGCGUAACGCGUGGGAACCUGCCCUUAGGUUCGGAAUAACUCCCCGAAAGGGGUGCUAAUACCGGAUAAUGUCUUCGGACCAAAGAUUUAUCGCCUUUGGAUGGGCCCGCGUUGGAUUAGCUAGUUGGUAGGGUAAAAGCCUACCAAGGCGACGAUCCAUAGCUGGUCUGAGAGGAUGAUCAGCCACACUGGGACUGAGACACGGCCCAGACUCCUACGGGAGGCAGCAGUGGGGAAUAUUGGACAAUGGGCGAAAGCCUGAUCCAGCAAUGCCGCGUGAGUGAUGAAGGCCUUAGGGUUGUAAAGCUCUUUUACCCGGGAUGAUAAUGGCAGUACCGGGAGAAUAAGCUCCGGCUAACUCCGUG
rnacentral:rRNA from 1 species